AACGAACGCUGGCGGCAGGCUUAACACAUGCAAGUCGAACGCACCGCAAGGUGAGUGGCAGACGGGUGAGUAACACGUGGGAAUGUACCCUUUGGUUCGGAAUAACUCAGGGAAACUUGAGCUAACACCGGAUAAGCCCUUCGGGGGAAAAAUUUAUUGCCAAAGGAUCGGCCCGCGUCUGAUUAGCUAGUUGGUGAGGUAAUGGCUCACCAAGGCGACGAUCAGUAGCUGGUCUGAGAGGAUGAUCAGCCACACUGGGACUGAGACACGGCCCAGACUCCUACGGGAGGCAGCAGUGGGGAAUAUUGGACAAUGGGCGCAAGCCUGAUCCAGCCAUGCCGCGUGAGUGAUGAAGGCCUUAGGGUUGUAAAGCUCUUUUACCCGGGAAGAUAAUGACGGUACCCGGAGAAGAAGCCCCGGCUAACUCCGUGCCAGCAGCCGCGGUAAU
rnacentral:rRNA from 1 species